ACCCAGGUGGCGAAAUUGGUAGACGCGCAGUCUUCAGGUGGCUGUGCCUUCGGGCGUGCGGGUUCGAGUCCCGCUCUGGGUACAA
rnacentral:tRNA from 1 species